rnacentral:tRNA from 32 species
GGCCAGGUAGCUCAGUUGGUACGAGCGUCCGCCUGAAAAGCGGAAGGUCGCCGGUUCGACCCCGGCCCUGGCCACCA